rnacentral:rRNA from 1 species
GUUUGAUCAUGGCUCAGGACGAACGCUGGCGGCGUGCUUAACACAUGCAAGUCGAACGGAGAACUUAUUUCGGUAAGUUCUUAGUGGCGAACGGGUGAGUAACGCGUGGGCAACCUGCCCUCCAGUUGGGGACAACAUUCCGAAAGGGAUGCUAAUACCGAAUGUGCUCCCUCCUCCGCAUGGAGGAGGGAGGAAAGAUGGCCUCUGCUUGCAAGCUAUCGCUGGAAGAUGGGCCCGCGUCUGAUUAGCUAGUUGGUGGGGUAACGGCUCACCAAGGCGAUGAUCAGUAGCCGGUCUGAGAGGAUGAACGGCCACAUUGGGACUGAGACACGGCCCAAACUCCUACGGGAGGCAGCAAUGGGGAAUCUUCCGCAAUGGACGAAAGUCUGACGGAGCAACGCCGCGUGAGUGAUGAAGGUCUUCGGAUUGUAAAACUCUGUUGUUAGGGACGAAAGCACCGUGUUCGAACAGGUCAUGGUGUUGACGGUACCUAACGAGGAAGCCACGGCUAACUACGUGCCAGCAGCCGCGGUAAUACGUAGGUGGCAAGCGUUGUCCGGAAUUAUUGGGCGUAAAGAGCAUGUAGGCAGGCUUUUAAGUCUGACGUGAAAAUGCGGGGCUUAACCCCGUAUGGCGUUGGAUACUGGAAGUCUGAGUGCAG